rnacentral:misc_RNA from 1 species
AAAAACAGUGCUAUAAAUACUAUCACCGUCAAUUCUUUUUCAAGAGUGGACACUCUCAUUGUAGUUUUCAGAUUUGAGCAGAUAUCUCCUUUGUUUUCAACCUACAUCAACUAUUGCUACCAGCCUACCACUUCAACAAAAACUGGAACUCUAUGUAUUGAUUUUUUAUUUUUUUCCUGAGCAUUGGUUUUAAGUUCAGCCAAGCAACAAUCAUGUCAGAGAAGUGUUUCUUGUACUUGAAUUCAUUUUGCUAUAAUAUAUGGCUUAGAGCAGCAAUAGUUCACCAUUUCAGAUAACUUCAAACAGAGUUGUGUUGAAUGAUGUAAUCAAGUUUCUUCAAAUUUCACAAUCGCUUUCCAAAAUUAGAAAAUAAAGCUUGAAGGUGUAGAUCAAGGCUCACGCUCAUUAAAUCCUUGUGGUUUUGUAGGCUGUGUAAGCCAACAGCAAUGGAAUU